GCCUUGGUGGUGCAGUGGUAGAGCACGCGUCCUCGGUAUGGAUGAAACGCUGGCUCAAUUUCCGCCUGAGGCC